UUUCAUUAGUAUUAAUAGUUAAGAUCUUUAAAUUAAAAGAAUUUGACGGUAAUUUAUCAUUCCAGAGGAGCCUGUCCUUUAAUCGAUACUCCACGCUAAAUUUUACCUUAGUUUUUAGCUUAUAUACCUCUGUUAUAGAGUGUUUUAUUAGGAAUUAUUCUCUUUUAUUUUUUAAAAAAUUAUAUCAGGUCAAGGUUUAGCUAUAUUAAGGUUGAGAUGGGCUACAAUUUAUUUUAUUAUUGAAUCUUUUUUAUUUAUUUAGAAAGUGAAAAUGGAUUUGGUUGUAAUUUAUAUUAUAUUUUAUUUAUGAUAUUUGUUCUAGAUUAAG
rnacentral:rRNA from 1 species